GUCCAGCCAAAUAUAUACCAACACAAAAACAAAAAAUCAAUUAAAAUCACUUAGGAAAGUAGAAGGUCUGGAGUAUCAGUGGAUGCUUCAUCUUCUUCAACCAAGUCUGUAAUUUCAUCCGGAUUACAGUUUGAAAAAAUGCGUAUAUCAAUAUGUGAGAUCUCAACAUCACUCAACAUUACUCAGACGUUACUAGAUCACUUCAACAGAUGAAGGAAGAGAAAGAUGAGUAAAAUAUUUUUCUACUUGUUCAACUUAAGCGGAGGAAAGGUAAACAUUUUUCUACUUAUUGAGAAGGAAAGGUAAAAAAAAAAAUUACCUAAUAUUUUUACGAGUAAGUGACACAACUUUUCACUAACACAACGAUAUUCAAAUUCUUGAUAUGGUGGGAGUUUGUGAAAUAAGAAAAAUGUGAUAUUUGUACUUUUGAGAAUGAGUUAAAAUAAAAAGUAUUAAAGUGCAGAUAUAAGUCUUGCAAUAAAUCACAUGUUACUAUUUACAUUUGAGUUAAUGUCUUUGGCUCUAACAUGCAUGUUAUCAAAAAUAAUGAAAAAAUUGAGUAGUCAUUUUGACAUGAAAAAUUGAGUGAGAUAAAUUCCAUUCUAGAAAUGAAAAUUACCUAAAUCACGUGAUGAAAUUUUUCUUGACAUGUCACAUUAUGGUGAAAAAAAUUGUGAAGUACAUUUUGUUGAUAGUAUAAGCCAUGCAACCCUUUUGAUUUAAAUUUGUGGAAGUGGUGUUAAAAAAAGGAGUUUGCUAGCCUAGUAAAAAAAAAAGAGAUAUGUGGCUAAUUGCACUUGGCUUGAAAAUAUGUAUAUAGUAAAAAUACUUAGCAAGUACAAGCAAAUCAGGUAUAUUUACUUGGUAAGAAUAUUGCAACUUGUUUUAUUAAAAAAUAAAUUCUGCUAUAUUUAAAAGUGUUUUUGAUAUAAAUGAAAAAAUUUGGUGCUAUUUGUUGAAAUAAAAAAAGCAAUUUAUUAUUUGCUAGUUCUAUCAUGGAGGUUGAACUACUUAUUUUAGGUUCAACUAGUGAAAAAUUGAAUUGAUCAAUCACUUUAUUUUGAGAAAUUAAUUUUUCUAGUUCUGAGUUAUUGUGAUAGCACCAAUAAACUGUUUUUAUAACAUUAAAUUUGAACCCAUAAGGAGAAAAUAAUAUUAUGAUCAUAUUUAACAUAUGGUACCAACAAAUGAUUAUGUCAAAUUUUGUGAUAAUCUUGCAGAUGAUCUAACCAAGGUCUUGUCAAGAUAAAAGAUCUGAAACACAUAGAGGAGGAGGAAUGAAGUCUAUAAAAAUACAUGAGUCAUAUAUGAGAAAACUCAAUCUGGCUACUAGAGAUCCUAUAAUCAGGUUCAAUAGGAAGAACGAAUCAUUAAUGACUUGGGAAAGGAGUGAACCAUAGAAGAAACUUGGAAAAAGUAGCAGAAAAGGAAUUUAACGGUCAAAAUGGUGGACCAUCAGUCUUGCGACGGACCACCAGGUGUACCGUCAGGCUUUAUCCAGAAACCACUCUUCUGAAGGACUCAGUGACGGACCAAAUGGUGUACCGUCAGACUUUCGACAGACCACCAGUUGGACCGUCAGGCUUUAUCCAGAAACCAGUCUUCUGAAGGACUCAGUGACGAACCAAAUGGUGGACCGUCAGACUUUCGACGGACCACCACUUUGGCCGUUGACUUGGACGCAGUUUUUCUGAUUUUAAAUUUUAAAUUCCUUUUUACCUGGGAACAUAUAAAUACUAAAUUUUAGGGUUA